AGUGAACGCUGGCGGUAGGCCUAACACAUGCAAGUCGAACGGCAGCACAGUAAGAGCUUGCUCUUACGGGUGGCGAGUGGCGGACGGGUGAGGAAUACAUCGGAAUCUACUUUUUCGUGGGGGAUAACGUAGGGAAACUUACGCUAAUACCGCAUACGACCUACGGGUGAAAGCAGGGGAUCUUCGGACCUUGCGCGAUUGAAUGAGCCGAUGUCGGAUUAGCUAGUUGGCGGGGUAAAGGCCCACCAAGGCGACGAUCCGUAGCUGGUCUGAGAGGAUGAUCAGCCACACUGGAACUGAGACACGGUCCAGACUCCUACGGGGGGCAGCGGGGGGGAAUAUUGGACAAUGGGCGGAAGCCUGAUCCAGCCAACCCGGGUGGGUGAAGAAGGCCUUGGGGUUGUAAAGCCCUUUUGUUGGGAAAAAAAAGCAGCAGGUUAAUACCCCGCUGUUCUGACGGUACCCAAAGAAAAAGCACCGGCUAACUUCGU
rnacentral:rRNA from 1 species